AGUAGCGGUGAAAUGCGUAGAUAUCUAGAGGAAUACCAAAGGCGAAGGCAGUCCCCUGGUCCGAUACUGACACUGAGGUACGAAAGCGUGGGGAGCAAACAGGAUUAGAUACCCUGGUAGUCCACGCCCUAAACGAUGUCGAUUAGCCAUUGGAAGGACCCCUUUUCCUUUCAGUGACGUAGCUAACGCGUUAAAUCGACCGCCUGGGAAGUACGACCGCAAGGUUAAAACUCAAAGGAAUUGACGGGGACCUGAACAAGCGGUGAAUGAUGUGGAUUAAUUCGAUGCUACGCGAAGAACCUUACCUACCUUUGACAUGGCCAAAGUUCUACCGAGAGGCGGAAGUACUCGUAAGAGGAUUGGCGCACAGGUGCUGCAUGGUUGUCGUCAGUUCGUGUCGUGAGAUGUUGGGUUCAGUCCCGCAACGAACGCAACCCUUAUCUUUAAUUGCUCCUAUUUUAACAGGCACUAUAAAGAAACUGCCAAUGAUAAGUUGGAGGAAGGUGGGGAUCACGUCAAGUCCGCAUGGCCUUUAUAGGUAGGGCUUCACACGUCAUACAAUGGUUAGAACAAAGAGCUGCAAAUUCGUAAGAAGGAGCCAAUCUCACAAACCUAACCUCAGUUCGAAUUGCGGUCUGCAACUCGAGCGCAUGAAGCCGGAAUCGCUAGUAAUCGUGGAUCAGAAUGCCA
rnacentral:rRNA from 1 species